UACGUAGGGGGCUAGCGUUGUCCGGAAUCAUUGGGCGUAAAGAGCGUGUAGGCGGCCCGGUAAGUCCGCUGUGAAAGUCGGGGGCUCAACCCUCGAAAGCCGGUGGAUACUGUCGGGCUAGAGUGCGGAAGAGGCGAGUGGAAUUCCUGGUGUAGCGGUGAAAUGCGCAGAUAUCAGGAAGAACACCCGUGGCUAAGGCGGCUCUCUAGUACGGUACUGACGCUGAGACGCGAAAGCGUGGGGAGCAAACAGG
rnacentral:rRNA from 1 species